UCGCCUGUUUUUACAAAAACAUGUCUUUACGUUUAAUGUAAAGUCUGGCCUGCCCACUGAGUUUUAAAGGGCCGCGGUAUUUUGACCGUGCGAAGGUAGCAUAAUCAUUAGUCUUUUGAUUGGAGGCUGGUAUGAACGGUCGGAUGAGGGAUAAACUGUCUGUCUUUAUUUAAACGAAUUUAACUUUUAAGUGAAAAGUCUUAAAUUUUCUGGGGGGACGAUAAGACCCUAUAAAACUUUAUAUAAAAUCUUUGUAGUUGGUGGAUUUGGUUUAAAAUGAUUGCAGCGGUGUUAUAUUUUGUUGGGGCGACAAUGAUAAAAUAUUAACUGUCAGUUAAAAUUAAAUAAAAAUAUUUAGGUUUUGAUCCUUUAUUUGAGAUUAUAAGAUUAAGUUACUUUAGGGAUAACAGCGUAAUUUUUCUUGAGAGUCCAUAUCGACAGAAUUAGUUGCGACCUCGAUGUUGAAUUAAAAUUUCUGGCAGGUGCAGCCGCCUGUCAAGUGGGUCUGUUCGACCUUUAAAAUUUUACAUGAUUUGAGUUCAAACCGGCGUGAGCCAGGUUGUUUUUCUAUCUUA
rnacentral:rRNA from 1 species